ACCUUGAUAGUCAACCUUAUGAAGGCUUUGACUUGGGCAACUUCGUUUAAAUGUUUGUCGAAUUGCACUCGUCCCGGCCUGCUUAACUGGACUAAAAAAAC
rnacentral:pre_miRNA from 1 species